CAGUAGCCGCGGGAAUACGGAGGGAGCUAGCGUUGUUCGGAAUUACUGGGCGUAAAGCGGGCGUAGGCGGUUACUCAAGUCAGAGGUGAAAGCCCGGGGCUCAACCCCGGAACUGCCUUUGAAACUAGGUGACUAGAAUCUUGGAGAGGCCAGUGGAAUUCCGAGUGUAGAGGUGAAAUUCGUAGAUAUUCGGAAGAACACCAGUGGCGAAGGCGACUGACUGGACAAGUAUUGACGCUGAGGUGCGAAAGCGUGGGGAGCAAACAGGAUUAGAUACCCGGGUAGUCCCUGUCUCUUAUAC
rnacentral:rRNA from 1 species